rnacentral:rRNA from 1 species
AUUGAACGCUGGCGGCAGGCCUAACACAUGCAAGUCGAGCGGAGCGGCUGACGGGUGAGUAAUGCCUGGGAAUCUGCCUGGUAGUGGGGGAUAACGUCCGGAAACGGGCGCUAAUACCGCAUCCUCUCUGCUGAGUCUAGGCCGGAUUAGCUAGUUGGUGGGGUAAAGGCCUACCAAGGCGGCGAUCCGUAACUGGUCUGCGAGGAUGAUCAGUCACACUGGAACUGAGACACGGUCCAGACUCCUACGGGAGGCAGCAGUGGGGAAUAGUGGACAAUGGGCGAAAGCCUGAUCCAGCCAUGCGGCGUGUGUGAAGAAGGUCUUCGGAUUGUAAAGAACUUUAAGUUGGGAGGCGUUACCAGCAGAAGAAGCACCGGCUAACUUCGUGCCAGCAGCCGCGGUAAUAC